CAAAAACAUGUCCUUUUGUUUAUUUAUAUAAGGUCUGGCCUGCCCAAUGAGUAAUUGAAUGGCCGCAGUAUUUUAACUGUGCUAAGGUAGCAUAAUCAUUUGUCUUUUAAUUGAGGGCUGGAAUGAAAGGUUGGAUGAGGUAUAAGCUUUCUUUAAUUUAAUUAGGAUAAUUUAAUUUUUGAGUCAAAAAGCUUAAAUUUAUUUGUUGGACGAGAAGACCCUAUAGAUCUUUAUAAUUUUAUGUUUCAAUAAUUUAGGGUUUUAUUUAUUUGAAGCAAAGGAAUUAUUUGGUUGGGGUGACUGUAGAAUUUGAAUAACUUCUAUUUUUUAGUUUCAUUAAUUUAUGUAUUGAUGAUCCAUAUUUUUAUGAUUAUAAGAUUAAGUUACCUUAGGGAUAACAGCGUAAUUUCCUCGGAGAGUUCAUAUUGAUGAGGGAGUUUGCGACCUCGAUGUUGGAUUAAAAUAAGUUGUGGGUGCAGGAGCUUAACAUACUAGGUCUGUUCGACCUUUAAAUUUUUACAUGAUCUGAGUUCAAACCGGAGA
rnacentral:rRNA from 1 species